CGGAGGGCUAGCGUUGUUCGGAAUUACUGGGCGUAAAGCGCACGUAGGCGGAUCAGUCAGUCAGGGGUGAAAUCCGGGGCUCAACCCGGACUGCCUUUGAUACUGCUGGUCUUGAGGUCGAGAGAGGUGAGUGGAAUUCCGAAGUGUAGAGGUGAAAUUCGUAGAUAUUCGGAGGAACACCAGUGGCGAAGGCGGCUCACUGGCUCGAUACUGACGCUGAGGUGCGAAAGCGUGGGAGCAAACAGGAUU
rnacentral:rRNA from 1 species